rnacentral:misc_RNA from 1 species
GAUGAAACGACUUUCGGACAAGGAAAAAUCAAUACUAAUAUGCAUAGCAGAACGUGGACAUUGGGAAAGGUUGGUAUCACAGAAAUUGUCUAGAAAGAAAGUUUUCUCCAUUUGAAGCUAAUUAAUUUAAUUCGCUUGAUAUGGAGUUGAUUGCUUAUUAUAUAUUCCUCUUAUAUUUAUAAUAAAUGGACAUGGAAUUUUUUUUUUAUAUAAAAUAAAUUAUUAAAUUCACAUGUUUCGUAUUUCAUCUAUUAAAUGCAAGAUUCAUUUAUUCUAUCAAUUUUAAUUAAAUAAAAUAAAGGAAGCUAAA